CAGCCGCCAGGGAAUACGUAGGUGGCAAGCGUUGUCCGGAAUUAUUGGGCGUAAAGGGCUCGCAGGCGGUUUCUUAAGUCUGAUGUGAAAGCCCCCGGCUCAACCGGGGAGGGUCAUUGGAAACUGGGAAACUUGAGUGCAGAAGAGGAGAGUGGAAUUCCACGUGUAGCGGUGAAAUGCGUAGAGAUGUGGAGGAACACCAGCGGCGAAGGCGACUCUCUGGUCUGUAACUGACGCUGAGGAGCGAAAGCGUGGGGAGCGAACAGGAUUAGAUACCCGAGUAGUCCCUGUCUCUUAUACA
rnacentral:rRNA from 1 species